rnacentral:rRNA from 1 species
UACGUAGGGGGCAAGCGUUGUCCGGAUUUAUUGGGCGUAAAGAGCGUGUAGGCGGCCACACAGGUCAGCUGUGAAAACUCGAGGCUCAACCUCGAGACGUCGGUUGAAACCGUAUGGCUAGAGUCCGGAAGAGGAGAGUGGAAUUCCCGGUGUAGCGGUGAAAUGCGCAGAUAUCGGGAAGAACACCCGUGGCGAAGGCGGCUCUCUGGGCCGUAACUGACGCUGAGGAGCGAAAGCGUGGGGAGCGAACAGG